rnacentral:rRNA from 1 species
AUGCCGCCGCGCCGCCGGGGUGCUUCGGGCUUUCACGGCGUCCGCGAGCGCCCCAACGGCUGGUACUCCGCCGAGAUACGGGCCGGCGACGUCCGGCUCGGCCUCGGGACGUUCCGGAGCGCGCGCGAGGCGGCCCGCGCGUACGACGCUGCGGCGUGGCGCUUGGACAGGCCCCGAUCCCAGAUGAAUUUCUGGGACGUCUUCACGCGCGAGGAGGCACAACGCCUCGCCCCUCCGCCGCGGCUGAUCACGGACAUGGACCGUGCCGACCACGCUCGACGGCAGCGCCGUCUCCUCGUCGCCGAGGAGGACGAGCGAGCCAUGGCAGAGUGGCGCCGUCGCCACCCAGAGGACGUCGACGCCGAGCAUGCCUACUGGGCGGAGAGGACGGCAAGGCGCCGCUCGGAGCGGGCGGACCGGCGUCAGCGGAAGGCAGUGGCGAACGAGCAGUGUGACAUCGUCUCCGCAGGUGGGAGGUCGUUCUUCACCUCGGAUGAUGAACGUUGGGACGACGACUGGCUCUCAACCUCGGACGACACCGACGAGGAUGACGAUGGUGAUGGCAGCGACUUAGAGUAG